GCUUGUCUCAAAGAUUAAGCCAUGCAUGUCUCAGUACAAGCCAAAUUAAGGUGAAACCGCGAAAGGCUCAUUAAAUCAGUUAUGGUUCCUUAGAUCGUACCCACAAUUACUUGGAUAACUGUGGUAAUUCUAGAGCUAAUACAUGCAAACAGAGCUCCGACCGGAAACGGAAGGAGUGCUUUUAUUAGAUCAAAACCAAUCGGUGGCGGGCUCGUCAUCGUACAACUUGGUGACUCUGAAUAACUUUACGCUGAUCGCACGGUCAUCGCACCGGCGACGCAUCUUUCAAAUGUCUGCCUUAUCAACUGUCGAUGGUAGGUUCUGCGCCUACCAUGGUUGUAACGGGUAACGGGGAAUCAGGGUUCGAUUCCGGAGAGGGAGCCUGAGAAACGGCUACCACAUCCAAGGAAGGCAGCAGGCGCGCAAAUUACCCACUCCCGGCACGGGGAGGUAGUGACGAAAAAUAACGAUACGGGACUCAUCCGAGGCCCCGUAAUCGGAAUGAGUACACUCUAAACCCUUUAACGAGGAUCAAUUGGAGGGCAAGUCUGGUGCCAGCAGCCGCGGUA
rnacentral:rRNA from 1 species